rnacentral:lncRNA from 1 species
UGAAUCAGUAUUAAUCCAUAGUUCCUUGAAGCCUCCUUACUCAGCCCUCGAGAGAUCGUGGUAGAUUGUGAAGCACACGGCAAUGAGAGGAGAGGAAGCUUUCACAACACAGCAGCCAACAGCAAUGGUGUCACCAAAGGAGGGGCGGGGGCGCGUACAACGUUACUCCGUUGUAGCAAACUCAGAAGAAGUGUCACAUUCGAUCGAAAAAUGAGAAAGAUGGAGGGAGCAACUUAGGAGUGGGAUUAGACAUCGACGCGGACAACCCCUCAGGCCUACAAUGGAGUGAAUUUGCAAUAAGACUUGUAAGGAAUGCAUCGGUGGUUGAGUCGAGAGUUGUGAACCUUACCCACGCACCAUGCUCCGAAUCAGCGAAGCAUUGGUAGGUGCAUUGAAAUCAAGAGUAGGAGGAUGAAGUCACAUGCAAAUCAUGUCAUGUCACCAGGGCCUUAUCGAAGAUUUAGAGACGUAUGUUUGGUAUGUACGUACAGAAACGUUGCUUGGGUAUUUUAACCGGCAAUAGUUUACAUUUAUGGAUAAUAAUUCUCUAUUUUUAUCUCCCCUUCCCAAUGUAAUCACAGUAUUAUACUCUCAAUAUUAAU